rnacentral:rRNA from 1 species
UACGUAGGGGGCAAGCGUUGUCCGGAAUCAUUGGGCGUAAAGCGCGUGUAGGCGGCCAGAAAAGUCCGCUGUGAAAACUCGAGGCUCAACUUCGAGCUGUCGGUGGAAACUUUCUGGCUAGAGUCCGGAAGAGGAGAAUGGAAUUCCUGGUGUAGCGGUGGAAUGCGCAGAUAUCAGGAGGAACACCGGUGGCGAAGGCGGGUCUCUGGGCAGUAACUGACGCUGAGGAGCGAAAGCGUGGGGAGCGAACAGG